GUUAAUUGACUUUGCUUUAAUCAGCCCAAUGAAUAUUCAUUAGCGUGCUGGUCCUAAUCACGGGGGCCAUGUUGGCCGCGUUCAGCAGGCGCUCGCCCAGCCCCGUGCAUGGCUCAGCAGCCGCCGUCCGCCCGCACCGCAUCGGGGCUGCGGGGAUUGGCCCACGGCUGCCUCCGGGAUGCCAUAGCAACCCCUGGCCCGUUGUCGUGGUAACAGAGGGGUUUUGUAAGGGCCUGAGCCAGUAAUCCAUAGGCUUAGAAGCGGCAACGUGCCUUUGUGGGGCGUGCGGGAUGGAUGGAUGGAUGGAUGGCCGAGAGAUUGGAUGGGCGGGCAGCGUGCGUGGCUCCCAUUGUGUGCCCGCGCCGUGGGAGGGGGCUGCGGGGUCUCCUCCUCCUCCUCGCCUCGAGAUGGGCUUUGGGGCUACAAAAAUCCCUGCAAAGUGGUCCCCACUGAGAAAAAGAACCCUCAAGACAAAACAGAAGGCAAGAGCUGACGGUUUUCUUCAUUCUGAAGUUGUAAGUAUAUUGUGUGUCUUUAAAUGGAUGCUAACAUGGGUUUGGGAGCAAGGAGUGGCUUGCUUUGUCCUAAAUUCAGCCAUGCUCCAAGCAGAGACAAAACCAAAGGUGUUUUCCACUGCUCGCAAACCACAGCAGUGCUUCAGCAAUCUGUGUUUGGUGCCUUCCCUCUGGCCUGGCAGGAGGUUGAGUGCAUAUCUUGUAUGUAUUGAUUUAGGAAGUUCUCUGGAGGCUGAGGUUUGGGUGUUGGUUUGGAGGGGCUGGAUUUGUUCAUGAGGACCCAGCUACUUUGCAGCUAGCUGUGAAGUCUUGUAUCAGGAAGAACAGGUUUGUUAAAUUGCUCAUCAGAACAAUGAUUUUGGAAAACAAAAUGGCAGCAGUGAGAAAGGAAAACCCCAACAAACAAAAUAAUAUUUAUUUCUGCCGCUGCAGCUCUGUGAGCUGAAAAUGGGAUGUUUUGUUUUGCUGGGCCUCGUGUGCAGAGCACAAUUGUAUCCAGUUGCAGACAAAAAUCUGCCUGGGUUUUGGAAAGGGGAAGGGAAGGGUGGGGAGAUCUGUGUUUGCAGAAUCACUGAUGCAGGAAGAUGCAAGUGCUGUGCUGUGUCUGCUUGCAUCAUGUGUGAAUCCAUCAGCCACUUAAAGAAACAGGAAACUCGUGGCAGCCCCUCGCUGUGGUUUCCCAUCUGCUCAGUGAUCUGCUGGUGAGGGAUAUUCAGCUUUGCCAUCUCCCACCUCCAAGGAGCCCUUUGUGGGAGCUCACACUUGACGUCUUUCAGCUGAAAAAUAGACCAAGGGGCAUCUGCAAACUUUUGUGACAAAGCCUCGAUCACAUUGAUGGUGCCCGAUGUGUGCCAGCAUCAUUGUGCCGUGCAGAGUAACAUUUAGAUUUGUUGGGGACUUU
rnacentral:lncRNA from 1 species